UAACGCGUUAAGUAGACCGCCUGGGGAGUACGGUCGCAAGAUUAAAACUCAAAUGAAUUGACGGGGGCCCGCACAAGCGGUGGAGCAUGUGGUUUAAUUCGAUGCAACGCGAAGAACCUUACCUACUCUUGACAUCCAGAGAAGCCAGCGGAGACGCAGGUGUGCCUUCGGGAACUCUGAGACAGGUGCUGCAUGGCUGUCGUCAGCUCGUGUUGUGAAAUGUUGGGUUAAGUCCCGCAACGAGCGCAACCCUUAUCCUUGUUUGCCAGCGAGUAAUGUCGGGAACUCCAGGGAGACUGCCGGUGAUAAACCGGAGGAAGGUGGGGACGACGUCAAGUCAUCAUGGCCCUUACGAGUAGGGCUACACACGUGCUACAAUGGCGCAUACAGAGGGCAGCAAGCUAGCGAUAGUGAGCGAAUCCCAAAAAGUGCGUCGUAGUCCGGAUUGGAGUCUGCAACUCGACUCCAUGAAGUCGGAAUCGCUAGUAAUCGUGAAUCAGAAUGUCACGGUGAAUACGUUCCCGGGCCUUGUACACACCGCCCGUCACACCAUGGGAGUGGGCUGCAAAAGAAGUGGGU
rnacentral:rRNA from 1 species